rnacentral:rRNA from 1 species
GAUGAACGCUGGCGGCGUGCCUAAUACAUGCAAGUCGAGCGAACAGACGAGGAGCUUGCUCCUCUGACGUUAGCGGCGGACGGGUGAGUAACACGUGGAUAACCUACCUAUAAGACUGGGAUAACUUCGGGAAACCGGAGCUAAUACCGGAUAAUAUAUUGAACCGCAUGGUUCAAUAGUGAAAGACGGUUUUGCUGUCACUUAUAGAUGGAUCCGCGCCGCAUUAGCUAGUUGGUAAGGUAACGGCUUACCAAGGCAACGAUGCGUAGCCGACCUGAGAGGGUGAUCGGCCACACUGGAACUGAGACACGGUCCAGACUCCUACGGGAGGCAGCAGUAGGGAAUCUUCCGCAAUGGGCGAAAGCCUGACGGAGCAACGCCGCGUGAGUGAUGAAGGUCUACGGAUCGUAAAACUCUGUUAUUAGGGAAGAACAAAUGUGUAAGUAACUAUGCACGUCUUGACGGUACCUAAUCAGAAAGCCACGGCUAACUACGUG